ACGGCGAGUGACNGGANAAGCUCAAAGUUGGAACCUGUUUGGCCUAGCUAAACCGGAUUGUAAACUGUAGAAGUGUUUUCCAGGCAAGCCGGACCGAUAAGUCCUUUGGAACAGGGCAUCAUAGAGGGUGAGAAUCCCGUCUUCGGUCUGAGCAUUUGCCUUUUGCGAUACACUUUCAAAGAGUCAGGUUGUUUGGGAAUGCAGCCUAAAUUGGGUGGUAAAUCUCACCUAAAGCUAAAUAUUGGCGAGAAACCGAUAGCGAACAAGUACCGUGAGGGAAAGAUGAAAAGAACUUUGAAAAGAGAGUUAAACAGUAUGUGAAAUUGUUAAAAGGGAACCGUUUGGAGCCAGACUGGCUUGUCUGUAAUCAGUCUAAGCUUCGGCUUGGAUGCACUUGCAGGCUAUGCCUGCCAACGACAAUUUGGCUUGAGGGAAAAAACUAAGGGAAAUGUGGCCCAUCCGUGGGUGUUAUAGUCCCUUAGAAAAUACCUUGGGCUGGAUUGAGGUACGCAGCGAAUGCUAUUUGGCGAGUUGGCUGGGAAUAUUUUCUGAGGUGCUUUGGUACUGAGGUUGAUAUUCCUAGUUACACUUCUAUUCGCUUAGGUUGUUGGCUUAAUGACUCUAAAUGACCCGUCUUGAANNACGGACCNNNAU
rnacentral:rRNA from 1 species